GUCCACGCCGUAAACGAUGUCUACUAGCCGUUGGGAGACUUGAUUUCUUAGUGGCGCAGCUAACGCAAUAAGUAGACCGCCUGGGGAGUACGGCCGCAAGGUUAAAACUCAAAUGAAUUGACGGGGGCCCGCACAAGCGGUGGAGCAUGUGGUUUAAUUCGAUGCAACGCGAAGAACCUUACCAGGUCUUGACAUCCAGAGAACUUUCCAGAGAUGGAUUGGUGCCUUCGGGAGCUCUGAGACAGGUGCUGCAUGGCUGUCGU
rnacentral:rRNA from 1 species